CUAUUCGAGCGUCAUUAUCACCCCUCAAGCCUAGCUUGGUGUUGGGGCCUGCUGUAAAGGCAGCCUCUAAAAUCAGUGGCAGUGCUGUCAGGCUCUAAGCGUAGUAAAUUCAUCGCUAUAGGGUCCUGGUGGAUACUCGUCAAAACCCCCCAUUUUUAAUGAUUGACCUCGGAUUAGGUAGGGAUACCCGCUGAACUUAA
rnacentral:misc_RNA from 1 species